GCCCAUUCUGAGGUCCUAGGGGUGAGGACUUCAUCACAUCUUUUUGAGCACCAUAGUUCAACCCACAGUACAUGGUUAGGGCUCCUCCAGGGCCUUGCACAGGGCUGUGCCAGUGAGGGGCUCUGAAGCUUAAGCUUCCUGAGCAUCACAACCCCUCUCCCCAGGCUUAGACCAGAGAAUGGCCUGGUGAUGGUGGGUGUACCACCCCAGGAGGCACAGCAGACCCCUCAGUGCCCUCCUGCCCACUCUGGAGGUUCCCCUUCCGCUUUGUGCAGAAGCCUUCCUGGGUCUCUUUGCCUAAGGGCUUCCCCUGUCCCCCACCCCCAGCAGACUAGAAGUGUCCCCAGGAGAAACCGUCAACCACAGAGGGCCAGGGAUUGGUGAAUGUACGCCUCAGCUUCCUCCCGCCUCAGAGGGACUUAAAAAAUCUUUCGUGGCUAACGCAGAUGCAGAAGAACGCUCCGAGCAAACGCAGGGCUUCACGGAUUACUCCACGGGCCGUACCCACGGCGGGACUGUUCCGUGGAAGCUCCACCCAGCCGCUCAGGGGUCGCAGUCGCACACAGCGGUUGCCUCUGACUUCCUCUGUGACCUGUUUGCCUCCCCGUGCUCCUGGGAUCACCUCCCAAAUAAGCUGCUUGUCCCCAGGUUCUUGUCUCAGGGUGAGCUUUUGGUGAAACUCAGAAUCAGGUGGUUGGCGAGGACAGGCAUCUUUAGAGGUGGCAUUUGAGGUGAGACCUGAGCACCGAGAAGGAACUGGCGGUGCCGAGAUCUGUGUCCCAGGCGGAGGGAACCGAGGCGGCCCUGAGGCAGAGUGGCCCUGCGUGUGGCUGGAACGCAGCGAGUGAGAGGGGGAGCCUGAGCAGGGCCUGGGAGAGGCAAGCAGAAGCCAGAUCUCAGAGGGCCAGCAGUCUGGGUCCGUGUGCGCAGGCGCACGGCUGUGAGGCGUGUGGGAGGUGAGGAGACUAGAGGUCUCUCCUCUUUCUUUCUUCUCUUUCCACUUCCCCCCGCACACACCUGACACAUCCACACACUCACACACAUUCACAGGAGGUUGAGUUUUUUUAGGAUUUUUUUUUUUAAUUUUAAUUUUUUUCCUUUUUCUCCCCAAAGCCCCCCGGUACAUAGUUGUAUAUUCUUCACUGUGGGUCCUUCUAGUUGUGGCAUGUGGGACGCUGCCUCAGCGUGGUUUGAUGAGCAGUGUCAUGUCCGCGCCCAGGAUUCGAACCAAGGAAACACUGGGCCACCUGCAGCGGAGCGCGCGAACUUAACCCCUCGGCCACGGGGCCAGCCCCACAGGAGGUUGAGUUUUGAAAACCUAAUUUCAUGUGGCCAUUCCAGUCCCACAGCACGUAUCUAUUCAGAUCAGCGCUGUCCCAAUGACCAAUGGCAACACCUUGAGGUUCCCAGUGGCAGUAGUAACCAUCACAACUGAGACCCACACUGCAACAGUGCCUUUAAGAUAUGAGCUCCACAAACCAUCCCAGCCGCCUGGAGAGCCAGAGGAACCCUCAGGACAGCCAAGUCCAAAUGGGUCGGGAGCAACGUCACGGUUUUCUCUAGUAGUGCAGCCAUCAGCCUGAGCUGGUUGCAGAGAUGGCUCAUUGCCUCAUUAGCUGCUUCCCCCUGGCAUGUGGGAAGAUGAUGGGGACGUGGACGAGCCCAGCCCUCACUGAAGACCAUCCUUCCAAUUCUGGCUGUCUGUGCUGGAGCAUUCAGACACCCCAGGAUUCCCAGCUGAUGGCAGUGCGGCCCAACGCCCUCCUUUCACACAUGAGCAAACAGAGAACCAGGCUCAUCCGACAAGCCAUGUGGAGCACGGUCAAGAGUUUUGGUUCUGGAGUCACACAUUCUGAAUUUCAGAUGCUGUCUCUGCAAGCGACCAUGAUCUUGGGUCAGUUACUCAGUCUCUCUCAGCCUUACUCUCAUCUACAAGUUAAAGAUAUUGAUAGUGCUAUCUACGUCAUAGAAGUGUUGAGAAUUAAAUAAGACAAUGCAUGUAAAAACCUCAGCACAGAGCUCAGUGAAAAGAUUCUCAAUAAACG
ensembl:lncRNA